GCGAGGGCUCUCCCCGCGCCCCCCACGGCCGCUCUCGGGUGGGCCCCGCCGGUGGAGCCCGGGCCCGGCCGCCCUGCUGGGAGUCUAGGAUCAUUUGUGGUGAGACGGGACGCUUACAAGCAAAACUGGACGUGAGACGUGAACUCGCCGGAGUGGAGGUCCGUGGGCCCCGCUCUCCGCCUUCGCCCCGCAGGGCCCUCGCUCCGUCGUGGCCUCGGGCGGACGACCCCGGCGUGGCCGAGGUUUCUCGGUCACACCGAAUUGUCUGCCGCCAACAAAGGAGGAGCCUAGUGUCCUCCGUCGCUGCCGCUUGAGUUUGCAGAUCUGCUGCCCUGACUGAGGCCGCGGCCGCACCUGCUGGAAGUGCCUUGUGCUCCGGGCCCAGCGGGGCUGCCUAUGCCACGUUUCCCCGCCCCCCCUCUUCCUUCACUCUGUACCUAUGCCCUUAUCUGACUCCCAGCUGCCUUGCCCUAGACCUUGAGCCCCUUGAGGGCAAGCUGCUGGGGGAAUGGCUCUGAGCUCAAUAAACAACCCUGGAAGUAAAAAAA